rnacentral:rRNA from 2 species
GGGUUGUGAGGUUAAGCGACUAAGCGUACACGGUGGAUGCCCUGGCAGUCAGAGGCGAUGAAGGACGUGCUAAUCUGCGAUAAGCGCCGGUAAGGUGAUAUGAACCGUUAUAACCGGCGAUUUCCGAAUGGGGAAACCCAGUGUGAUUCGUCACACUAUCAUUAACUGAAUCCAUAGGUUAAUGAGGCGAACCGGGGGAACUGAAACAUCUAAGUACCCCGAGGAAAAGAAAUCAACCGAGAUUCCCCCAGUAGCGGCGAGCGAACGGGGAGGAGCCCAGAGCCUGAAUCAGCAUGUGUGUUAGUGGAAGCGUCUGGAAAGGCGCGCGAUACAGGGUGACAGCCCCGUACACAAAAGCGCAUGUGCUGUGAGCUCGAUGAGUAGGGCGGGACACGUGGUAUCCUGUCUGAAUAUGGGGGGACCAUCCUCCAAGGCUAAAUACUCCUGACUGACCGAUAGUGAACCAGUACCGUGAGGGAAAGGCGAAAAGAACCCCGGCGAGGGGAGUGAAAAAGAACCUGAAACCGUGUACGUACAAGCAGUGGGAGCACAGGUUUACCUGUGUGACUGCGUACCUUUUGUAUAAUGGGUCAGCGACUUAUAUUCUGUAGCAAGGUUAACCGUAUAGGGGAGCCGUAGGGAAACCGAGUCUUAACCGGGCGUUAAGUUGCAGGGUAUAGACCCGAAACCCGGUGAUCUAGCCAUGGGCAGGUUGAAGGUUGGGUAACACUAACUGGAGGACCGAACCGACUAAUGUUGAAAAAUUAGCGGAUGACCUGUGGCUGGGGGUGAAAGGCCAAUCAAACCGGGAGAUAGCUGGUUCUCCCCGAAAGCUAUUUAGGUAGCGCCUCGUGAAUUCAUCUCCGGGGGUAGAGCACUGUUUCGGCUAGGGGGCCAUCCCGGCUUACCAACCCGAUGCAAACUGCGAAUACCGGAGAAUGUUAUCACGGGAGACACACGGCGGGUGCUAACGUCCGUCGUGAAGAGGGAAACAACCCAGACCGCCAGCUAAGGUCCCAAAGUCAUGGUUAAGUGGGAAACGAUGUGGGAAGGCCCAGACAGCCAGGAUGUUGGCUUAGAAGCAGCCAUCAUUUAAAGAAAGCGUAAUAGCUCACUGGUCGAGUCGGCCUGCGCGGAAGAUGUAACGGGGCUAAACCAUGCAC